GCUGUAGCUCAUUCAUAGAGCAUCUGCUUUGCAUGCAGAAGGUCUAUGGUUCAAUGCCUGGCAUCUCCA